rnacentral:rRNA from 1 species
UACGGAAGGCAGCAGUGGGGAAUAUUGCACAAUGGGCGCAAGCCUGAUGCAGCCAUGCCGCGUGUAUGAAGAAGGCCUUCGGGUUGUAAAGUACUUUCAGCGGGGAGGAAGGCGAUGCGGUUAAUAACCGCGUCGAUUGACGUUACCCGCAGAAGAAGCACCGGCUAACUCCGUGCCAGCAGCCGCGGUAAUACGGAGGGUGCAAGCGUUAAUCGGAAUUACUGGGCGUAAAGCGCACGCAGGCGGUCUGUUAAGUCAGAUGUGAAAUCCCCGGGCUUAACCUGGGAACUGCAUUUGAAACUGGCAGGCUUGAGUCUUGUAGAGGGGGUAGAAUUCCGAGGUGUAGCGGUGAAAUGCGUAGAGAUCUGGAGGAAUACCGGUGGCGAAGGCGGCCCCUGGGACAAAGCUGACGCUCAGGUGCGAAAGCGUGGGGAGCAAACGAGGAUUAGGAUACC